rnacentral:rRNA from 1 species
GAAUUGACGGGGGCCCGCACAAGCGGAGGAACAUGUGGUUUAAUUCGAUGAUACGCGAGGAACCUUACCCGGGCUUGAAUUGCUGAGGAAAGAUCCAGAGAUGGUGAUGCCCUUCGGGGCCUCAGUGAAGGUGCUGCAUGGUUGUCGUCAGCUCGUGCCGUGAGGUGUCGGCUUAAGUGCCAUAACGAGCGCAACCCCUCUCUUCAGUUGCCAUCAGGUUAAGCUGGGCACUCUGGAGACACUGCCACCGUAAGGUGUGAGGAAGGUGGGGAUGACGUCAAAUCAGCACGGCCCUUACGUCCGGGGCUACACACGUGUUACAAUGGCCGGUACAGAGAGUUGGACACCCGCAAGGUUGUUCUAAUCACUAAAUCCGGUCUCAGUUCGGACUGGGGUCUGCAACCCGACCCCACGAAGCUGGAUUCGCUAGUAAUCGCGCAUCAGCCAUGGCGCGGUGAAUACGUUCCCGGGCCUUGUACACACCG